UAUUUGGUUAAUUCUACUAAUAGUUAUAUAUUUAUUUUAAAAAUUAAAUUAUAUAUAUUUAAAUUUAAGUAAUUAAACCGCAAAACUACAAAUAGCUUAUUAAAUUAAUUAUAAUUUAUUUAAUAGUACUUUACUAUAUAGAUAACUAUAGUAAUUCUAGAGCUAAUAUAUGCUAAAAACCCCGACUUCGGAAGGGGUGUAUUUAUUAAAUUAAAAACCAAUACCCUUCGGGGCUAACUAGUAAUUUAUAAUAAUUUUUCGAAUCGUAUAGCCUUAUAUUAGUAAUAGUUUAUUUAAAUUUCUACCUUAUUAAUUUUCGACGGCUAGGUCUUAGCCAAUUAUAGUAAUAAUAGGUAACGGAGGGUUAGGGCUCAACCCCGGAGAAGGAGUUUGAAAAAUAGUUAUUAUAUUUAAGGAAGGUAGUAGGCGUAUAAAUUACCUAAUUCCGAUAUAGGGAGGUAGUAAUAAUAAAUAUUAAUAUAAAGCUCUUUUAAGUCUUAUAAUUAAAAUAAAUAUAAUUUAAAUCCCUUAACGAAGAAUAAUUAGAGGGCAAGUCUAGUGCCAGCAGCUACAGUAAUUCCAAUUCCAAUAGCAUAUAUUAAAAUUAUUAAAGUUAAAAAACUCGUAAUUAAACCUUAGGCUCGGCCCGUCAGUCCGCCUCACCGCAUAUAUUAAUUAGGUUGGGCCUUUUUUCCUAGAGAAUUAUAUACCCUUUACUAAAUAUAUUAGGGAACUAGGACUUUUACUAUAAAUAAAUUAGAUUGCUUAAAGAAGGCCUAUAUUCGAAUAUACUAAUAUAGAAUAAUAGAAUAGAACGUAUAGUUCUAUUUUAUUAAUUUCUAGGACCGUUAUAAUAAUUAAUAGGGAUAAUCGGGGGUAUUAAUAUUUAAUUAUUAAAGGUAAAAUUCUUAAAUUUAUUAAAGACUAACUAUUGCAAAAGUAUUUACUAAGGAUAUUUUUAUUAAUUAGGAACGAAAAUUAGGGGAUCGAAGACGAUUAGAUACCAUUAUAAUCUUAACUAUAAACUAUACCAAUUAGAGAUCGGAUAGUAUUAUUUUUUAACCCGUUCGGCACCUUACAAUAAAUCAAAAUAUUUAGGCUCCUAGGGGAAUAUAAUUGCAAAACUAAAACUUAAAGAAAUUAAUAGAAGGGUACUACUAAGGGUAGAGCCUACGGCUUAAUUUGACUUAAUAUAGGGAAACUUACUAAAUCCAAAUAUAAUAAGGAUUAAUAAAUUAAAAGCUCUUUCUUAAUUUCGUAGGUAAUAAUAUAUAGCCGUUCUUAAUUAAUAGAAUAAUUUAUCUACUUAAUUACAAUAACGAAUAAAACCUUAACCUAUUAAAUAACUUAUAUUACUUUAAUAGUACGCUAGCUUCUUAAAGGGACUAUCGGUUUAAACCGAUAGAAGUUUAAAGUAAUAAUAAAUCUAUAAUACCCUUAAAUAUUCUAAGCCGUACAUAUACUAUACUAAUAUAACCAGCGAAUACUCCCUUAGCCGGAAGGUCCGGGUAAUUUUAUUAAAUUAUAUUAUAUUAGGGAUAGAAUAUUAUAAUUAUUACUCUUUAAUAAAGAAUCCCUAAUAAGCGCAAAUUAUUAACUUAUAUUAAUUACGUCCCUACCCUUUAUAUACACCACCUAUUACUAUUACCAAUUAAAUAGCUUAAUAAAGCUUCCGGAUUAGCUUAAGGAGGUUAGUAAUAAUUACCUAAGGCCGGAAAGCUAUCUAAAUUCAGUUAUUUAGAGGAAGUAAAAAUCGUAAUAAAGUUUCCGUUAGUAAAUUAGUAGAAGGAUUAUUA
rfam:Neurospora crassa OR74A unplaced genomic scaffold supercont12.9, whole genome shotgun sequence.